UUCUCUCUCUAAUAAACCACUGUUUCAACAUGUGUAGCUCUAAUUCGACAAACGAAUGUCGGCAUAAACAGCAACAAUAGUAUUGCUGUAGUAUAAAACGAAUAAAGCACUUCCUAUACAAACACACUUGACAAAAGCCGCCGCAGUAAAAGUGCGAGUGAGCUACUUAAAACCUAAUAACACCUGUUACAUCCGUGCUGCGUUUCUCAAUAACGUUGUUUCUCAGCGUGAAAUGAAGACUCUCAUACCUUUUCUAGGCGUGUUCCUUGAACUAUACUUUAGCAGGUUAAUUAAGGUAGCUUAUACUUUCCUGUGUACGACGUUCAGGUGCUGUCCACGGCGUUGGUGCUGAAUUUACAGAUAGCGAUCUUUCUAGUUACGUAUUUCAUAUACAGGCAUGUUUUUGGACACAUAUUUAUUUUUAGACAACAUGCUUUUAGCAUUAUCAUGUGGUUGUGUGUACAUUAUAGUGAAUAGUUAUUUUACAAUGGGAGGUAAAAUACUAUUUUGUAUUAUCAAUUUAUUUUAUUAUCAAAUAAAAUAUUUUAAUUGUUUAAUUGUCCAAUUUCUUUUAGAGUAUAUUGCAGCAGAACAUAUGUUUUAAACCCCUCAACACUCUAGACAGCCAUAGACAUGAUGUGGAAUGCCAAACUGACCCUCAACAAGUCAUGGCAGUGGGCACACAAUCUGAGGCAUCUCCAAAAAUGAAGUCGGUCGGUACACAAUUGUCUAUGGGGACACUGACUGACAGGCAUAUGAGAAGCAAAGGCACACAGGCAGGGGUUUCAUGUGCCAGUGUUUCAACCGAAACAUCUAGAUACUCAGGCUUUACAUUCAGAUGCCAACCUCAAAUGUCAUCAACACCUUUAAAGGACCCAGAUUUUAGACCAAGGAAAAGACCACGUAUGGAAUUUGAGGAAGAAGAGGGAGAAUCUGAGAGAGAAUCACAGGGUGAUCCUCUUGACUCAACAUAUGACCCAGAUGACACUGUUGUUUCAGAAGAAUCUGAAUUGUCGUUUGAGCAAAGACCAUCAUACACUGAGAAAAAAUAUAUUGUUUUUGAAAGCUGCCUCAGAGAACUGUUUGACCUCUGUCAGCUAUGCAAGAAAAGGUGUGAUGUUCAGCAACGACAAAUGGGUACUUUUGUGUCAUUCUAUCAGUUAUGCCCAAACUGUAAUUACACCAGACGGUGGCAAAGCCAGCCCAUUCUUGGCAGUACACCCAUUGGAAACCUUCAACUAUCUGCAGCCACAUAUUUCACUGGUGCAUCCUUUAUCCAGAUAGAAAAGGUAUUCCAAGCCAUGCGUCUUCAGACCUUUCAUUAUAACACGUUCAGACGACAUGCCAGGAAUUUCUUGUAGCCUGCUAUUGUACACAAAUGGAAAAGGGAUCAGAAUAAUAUGUUUCAGCAGUUACAACAAGAAGGGAAUAUUGCAAUUGCUGGAGAUAUGCGAGCAGACUCACCGGGACACUCAGCCAAGUAUGGCACCUACACUAUACUUAACCUGGGCAGCAACACCAUUAUUGACCUACAACUUGUUCAGAGCAAUGAAGUAGGUGGAAGUUACCAUAUGGAAAAGGAGGGCUUACCCUACAGUCACAUUAGCUACAAAAGUGAACGACACCGAGCGACACGCACUCGCUUGAUGGGCGUUCCUUGGGUAGUUUCUCAAAGCGGUAUCAAAAGUCACUUUAGAGGUAUUGUUAAGUUACAAGAACGGUGUUUUUGGAUUUAAAAGUAUUUAUUUCUCGAUAAAAGUAACAAAAUAUAUAAGAUAAAAUGCCAAACUUAUCAGAUAUAUACAUAAAUACGCAUUUUCCGCCAUCUUGAAUUAUUUUCUCAGACUCGACCACAGACCUACGUCACGCUGCUCCUUCACUCUGAUUGGCAAUCGCUUUGUCGCAUCGCUCAGUAUUUGCAUAAAAUAGCCUGCUUGUCUAUUUUGGCCCCGCCUUGCUCGCGCAGUGGCGAGCUCGUCGCUUGUCGCUGGCAAACGGCCACUUCCAUUGAAAAUGAAUGGUAGCAUGUCGCUCUGUCUCUGUCGCUUGUAGCUAAUGUGACUGGGGGGUUAAAGCGAUGUCUAGAUCUUCUGGAGUCAAAUGAACUGGCAGUGGAUUACAUUGUAACCGACCGGCAUCCACAGAUUCAGAAGUAUCUGAGAGAACGCAACAUCACACAUUUCUAUGAUGUAUGGCACUUUGAGAAAGGUUUGUCUAAAAAACUAGUCCAGCUUGCACAAAACAAGGAGUGUGAGGUGUUGAAGAAGUGGCUGCACAGCAUCAAAAUGUUUACUGGAGUGCGACAUCCUCAACAUCAGGACCUGAGAAGGUGGCCAAGUAAACUUCGUUAAUCAACCACCUUCAAAAUGUGCAUGUCCACGAGGACCCUAUAUUUCGUGUGAACAUCCGGACAGAGUUUCAAGGGAUCCUAAGAAAUGGUUACAACCAGGGUCAAUAGUUCCACACAAAGUAGAAAAAGUACUCAUCAACAAGAGAGUUCUCAAAGAUGUUGAAAAGCUUAGUCAUCACCACCAAACAUCAUCGCUGGGGGCCUUCCACAGCUUGAUCCUGCGCUUUGCACCAAAGAACGUGGUUUUUCCAUUUAUUGGAAUGUUGUGCCGGUUGUACCUUACGGUAAUGCACUACAAUGAAAAUGCAGACCGUGUGCAAGCAACAACAUUAGCAGGACAAGCUAAGUACAAGGUUGUGUUUCCAAAAUCCAAGAAGGGUGAAUGCAUCGCUAGGCCUAUAAAAACUGAACCUACAUACAAUUAUGUGGAUGAUCUGAUUAGGCUCUUGUUUGAUGAGGUGUUUGAGGACCCAGUACCAUUUGUUGCACAACUAAAAGAAAUACCAGUUCCCAUGGACCUGGCGUCACAAUAUGACAGACCAUCAAAGGAGGAAGUGAUUGCCCGCCAUGUCUCACGCUUCAGUCAAGGGGUGGUUGGAAGCCAACAUAGUGGCCAGCCAGAUCUGGAAACUCCUGACGUAUCCGGAGUACAACACAUGACGGGAUAACAACCCUGACAUGCCGGCCUAAGUAGCCCCAACACCAACUGACAAAGCUGCGAUAAGCAAGAAAACGAUAACCCCUGUAACAAAAAAACAAUUCAAUGUGUGUAAAUAUGUAUGUUCAUGUAUAUAGUUAACAUUUAUUUAUUUAUAGUU